rnacentral:tRNA from 1 species
AGGGACUUAGGUUACAUUUAAACCAAGAGCCUUCAAAGCUCUAAAUAGAGACAUACCUCUAGUCCCUG